CCUACGGUGCGCUGCAGUGAGGGAUAUUGGUCAAUGGGGGAAACCCUGAACCAGCAACGCCGCGUGAGGGAAGACGGUUUUCGGAUUGUAAACCUCUGUCCUCUGUGAAGAUAAUGACGGUAGCAGAGGAGGAAGCUCCGGCUAACUACGUGCCAGCAGCCGCGGUAAUACGUAGGGAGCAAGCGUUAUCCGGAUUUAUUGGGUUUAAAGGGUGCGUAGGCGGAUUUUUAAGUCAGCGGUAAAAUGUCCGGGCUCAACCCGGGCCGGCCGUUGAAACUGGGGAUCUUGAGUGGGCGAGAAGUAUGCGGAAUGCGUGGUGUAGCGGUGAAAUGCAUAGAUAUCACGCAGAACUCCGAUUGCGAAGGCAGCAUACCGGCGCCCGACUGACGCUGAGGCACGAAAGCGUGGGGAUCGAACAGGAUUAGAUACCCCGGUAGUC
rnacentral:rRNA from 1 species